UUCGGGGUCGUACCUGUCAGUCGUGGUGUGUUUGGGGUCGUACCUGUCGGAGGUCGUGGUGCAUUCGGGGGCGUACCUGUCGGUCGUGGUGCGUUCGGGGUCGUACCUGUCGGUCAUGGUGCGUUUGGGGUCAUACCUGUCGGUCGUGGUGCAUUUGGGGUCGUACCUGUCGGUCGUGGUGCGUUCGGGGUCGUACCUGUCAGUCGUGGUGCGUUCGGGGUCGUACCUGUCAGUCGUGGUGCAUUUGGGGUCAUACCUGUAGGUCGUGGUGUGUUCGGGGUCGUACCUGUCGGAGGUCGUGGUGCGUUCGGUGUCGUACCUGUCGGUCGUGGUGUGUUCAGGGUCGUACCUGUCGGAGGUCAUGGUGCGUUCGGGGUCGUACCUGUCAGUCGUGGUGUGUUUGGGGUCGUACCUGUCGGAGGUCGUGGU